CGCCACGGAGUCAUGUGUCAUGUGUUGUGACUCACCGCCUUCCCAUCAUGCAGGCGAGUUGAUUUUGACAGCCCGAGAUUCAUUAGAUUGAUUCACGCGCGAUGUAUUCUCUGUCGUUCUACCUAUUUGUGUUUGCUAGUACUCUUAUCAAGCUAAGUUAAAGAACAUAUGUCACUGCAAACGGGGUGAACGUUACAACUUCCUCCCAGUACCACCGUCUGCGUCGUUCUACACUUCACUUCAGGAGGCCAUCAUGACCCGCCGGAUUAUCCGAACACAGGACUACCCCGUGGACUUUUCUUGUACGGAGCCGGAGAUAAGCGCAUUGUCGUAGCAUUCUACACUGUUAACGAUCUCACACGGACCAUCAUUCACCUAAUGGACAUGUUUUGGGAGAUGUUGCUGUCUGCCUGGCGUUUUAUCUUCCGUUGUACUGUCAUACUUUUCUACUUGACUCUACCAGUUGAAGUUCCCCUUGCCACCAUGCUAAAACUUCAAGCACAAGAAGGGCCGCUCAUGAUCGAUGUAACGUUACUUCCAACCAGGAGACGGGCGUUUCAAAUCAAGGCUACUGAACUAGACUCGACAAAAUUUAUGAAAAAAUAUCGGAUGUCACAGGAAUGCCGAAGACUUCGUUCAAAAUGUUCACGGCCGGCAAAAAAGGUUCGUCAUCCUUGUCAGGGAGGAUCUAGAAGUAGGACCACAGCGACCAAACCAACAUUCAAGAACAACAGGUGAUUCGUCUCUUCAUGGCGAGGAGACAUGUGACUGCGGAGGCGCUUGCAACUGUCAAACUUUCACGUCAAACUAAGAGGAGAACUGUGAUCUUCCAGUGGGUCGCAUCAGAGAUGCUAUUCGAUCAAAACGUGCGUUCGCUGACGAUGUGCCGUCUUGAGUGCCGUUCAAAAGGAAUUGGAACCUUUUUCAUGGACCGAGACCCCGUGCAGCAAGAUUCUCCAACACGUCACCUACACGCUUUGAAUCCUCCCCACUGCGACUGAUGCCCCAUUCUCGCACACUGUCUAAACCGUCCACAUUACAACCUGUAUAUUACGUCAAGUACAUGUGAUUUCGGUUUGACUACAUUUUUCCACGAACAAUACAUUCAUUGGCUUAAUCAUAUUGUGCUAGGGUACUGCCAUAUGAUAUUUGUAACACCAUAAUUCUUGAAAUGUGUAAUCCAAGAUGUAGUGAAGUUGUGAUGUCACAUGUUGCCAGUAGUCUCUGAUUGUUCUUUCUCUCGUGUCCAUGUUUGACCACUGAGUUUAUACCGCAAACGUUUACACAUCGAAUUGUAUCGAGCACAAGCUGAACUUGAAUCGUUUGAUAAGGGCCAUGUGGAUUUAGAACUUGUAAUUAGAGCUAUCAGUAACAAACGAAUAGCUUGAAAUACUUUGCUGACAAAUGUGCAACAAGGCAUUGCUAAAAUACAACCGAUGAUUAGCCAUAUGAUAUAUACAAGUAUAAUCAAGCUAAAUAUAAACUGUAAAGGGUCCACCCCUCUGUACAUUGCACCAUUUGUAUUGUAACCAGUAGUUUUACGUCUUCAGUUGUAUAGUUUUGCCUUUUUCCUUGCCAAUCAAUACACCUAAUUGCAAUGGACUAAGA